CCCGCGGAGAGCGGCUCGGAGGGGCGAGGACAGGGUGAACCCGCCCCAAAUGAACGCCGCGGGCCAGGCUCGGUUCCCGGCUAGCACGCGGAGCAGCGCGGUUCGCGCGGGGCGCCCUGUCUGUCCCUUCACCCCGCCGGACCCUCUGCGGGUGGAGCUGGACGCAAGCUGUCAAGCCCCGAGGAGGUGGUGGGUGGUGUAUUUCUGACCUCCAAGUCCUCGUUUCACAAGGGAGACCUAAAGGCUAGCAUGUGUCUGGGGACAGAAGAGCCCCGCUCUGCUGUAGAUGCACAACAAAUUAUGGACCCCACAGAAAGAGCCUUAUGACUCUUCAUAAUUUCCCCAUAACUCCUGCGCUGUGAUCCACUCUGUUCAUAGGCAGUUACCUUUUUCUGUUCAAUAACUUCAUUCUCCGGUUGCACAGACUUGGAGCCAAGCGGUCAUGUGCCCAAAGCCUUCUCUGUUCUACUAGAUCAACUGAUCUACCUGAAAAAGAAAACACCAUUCCUUACAAAAGCAAAAUCACAUCCAGUGCUGGGGUGCCUCAUCGUGAGAACAGAUAUACUGGAUCAAACCGGAGUGGUCUCUGUGAAUGGAUGCAGUUUAUGCUGACAAUCGUCUUGCUGCCGUGUAACACGGCCGGUGACAAGGGAAGAGACGGCGGAGUGGCUCACUCGCAGCGCUGCUAAUGACCCCAGCAUUGUUAUUUCCAUAAAUGGGAUCUUUGUGUGCUAGCUAAACCUGCGCAGGAUAGCUGGGAAAGCCGCUUUCUUUCAAUCUUCCCCAGAUCUCUCUCUGACUUGUACUCAUG
rnacentral:lncRNA from 1 species